rnacentral:rRNA from 1 species
UGAACGCUGGCGGCGUGCCUAACACAUGCAAGUCGAGCGGAGAUACAUGUCUAAGAGAUUCGGUCGAAUAAUGUAUCUUAGCGGCGGAUGGGUGAGGAACGCGUGGAGAACCUGCCCUUCACAGGGGGAUAACAGCUGGAAACGGCUGUUAAUACCGCAUAUGCUCACAGGAUCGCAUGAUCCAGGGAGGAAAGCCGAGACGGUGAAGGAUGGCUCCGCGUCGGAUUAGCCAGUUGGCGGGGUAACGGCCCACCAAAGCGAUGAUCCGUAGCCGGCCUGAGAGGGCGACCGGCCACAUUGGGACUGAGACACGGCCCAAACUCCUACGGGAGGCAGCAGUGGGGGAUAUUGCACAAUGGGGGGAACCCUGAUGCAAGCGACGCCGCGUGAAGGAGGAAGUGCUUCGGCAUGUAAACUUCUAUCAGCAGGGAAGAAGAUGACGGUACCUGACUAAGAAGCCCCGGCUAACUACGUGCCAGCCGCCGC